GGCUCCAUAGUGUAGUGGUUAGCAUGUCUGCUCUACACGCAGAAGGUCUUGGGUUCGCGCCCCAGGUGGAGCCA
rnacentral:tRNA from 1 species